UACGUAGGGGGCAAGCGUUGUUCGGAUUUACUGGGCGUAAAGGGCGCGUAGGCGGCCUCUGCAAGUCGACUGUGAAAUCUCCGGGCUUAACCCGGAAAGGUCAGCCGAUACUGCAGGGCUAGAGUGCAGAAGGGGCAACUGGAAUUCUCGGUGUAGCGGUGAAAUGCGUAGAUAUCGAGAGGAACACCUGCGGCGAAGGCGGGUUGCUGGGCUGACACUGACGCUGAAGUGCGAAAGCUAGGGGAGCGAACGGG
rnacentral:rRNA from 1 species